AAGGUAGUGGGAAGUGUACCAUCUCAGGGCAAAGUUCUCAACAUCCACAAGAGUCUCUGGCCCAAUGAGUGGGGGGUUCAUAGAAAUUUUAGCACAUGA
rnacentral:snoRNA from 1 species